UUGGUUGCAACUAUCCUAGUAACAUACACUUGCCCACGCGUCACAUCUUGAGAAGAAUCCCAUCACCUUCACUCAUUCAUUGUCUUGAUAAGCCAGUUAACCUUAGCAGAUAUUUAGCUUUACUAUAUCUCUACAAUGUUCUCUUUAUUCAAAAUUUCCACUCAUAGUAUAAUUAGGAGAAUAUGAUUGCAAAAACAACCAAUCCAAUCCUUUCUCCAUUUAGUUAUUCAAAAUUUCAUGAACAACUUUCUAAGGCACUAAUCAGAUAUUUUUCAAUUGCGGUCUUUUGAUUGGAUGAGAUUUGAACUUGCAAUAACAAAAUAGAUUCAAUAUUUGCUGAAAGUAAUGAUAUAACAAUUGAUUUUAUUCAUCCAUUAAUUCCUUUGAUUGAAACCCGUAUAGAUUAAAAAGUCUUGGAUGGAAGAAUUGGAUAUGAUAGCUAUUGAAAAAGGAAGCUAAGUUAUCAAAAGUAGAGACGGAGAGUUAGUACCGAAUUGGAAGGAAAAGCAGGAGAACCAGAGCUGAAGUCACAUGUUAUUGCCCUUCCGGCCAGUUUCAACAAUGUUUGUAUCAUGAAAACAUAUAUGAUAAAUGAGAAUGGGGACCUGAAAGAUAACAAAAUUUCCUCAUAAACAUGAAUCUAUUCAAGCUUCCUUCCUCAAAAUUUCUGGGUCCAUCGCUGAUGAUGUUAUUGACUAGGUUGAACCAUUUGUCUUCUAGGUUUUGUUGCUGCACAUAACCUCCCGGUUCUCUACGAAGGGUAUGACGAUCAGAUUGAUAACUUCGUGUACAAGGUACUUGAUCAGAUGCAAAACCAGUAUAGGAAGGUGGAUUCUGGUUUGCUUAGCAAAAUCCCCAAGGGAAAUAUCAAAGGAAAGAAGCUUGAAUAGAGUCAUGUUUAUGUAAAUGAUUUUGGAUUCUGUUUUUGUUGCUUUUACUUUGGCUCUAAGAAUUUCUUUUACUAUGUUGGAGUCUUAGAAAAUUUCGUUAUGUCCUUAUUUGAGUGGGGAAGGA